UGAAGAUGAAGCUUUUCCUUAUAUGGCUCUUAUUGCUCUGGUGUUUACUCGACCAUGAUUUUAUCUGUGUUGUUUCAAAUGGAGUCUCUGUGUCAGUGAUGGAGGGAGAUUCAAUCACUCUAAACACUGGGGUUGAAAUAAAACAAGAAGAUAUAAAAUGGUAUUUUAAUGAUAUUUGCAUUGCUCAGAACAGCGGAGAUCAGA